rnacentral:tRNA from 1 species
GGGAACGUAAUUCAAUUGGUAGAAUGUCUGAUUUGCACUCAGAAUGUUGUCGGUUCAAGUCCGAUCGUUUCCA